UAAUUCCACUGGCUGUCGCCGCAGGGCUCCGGGGUAACAAAGGCACAAUUAGAGGCCAAAUUCCGGGGCGGAGUGGGGCACAGGAACUUGCCCUAUCCGCGGUGCUUUUUCCCAAGCAGAGGUCCGACCCCACCACCUUGGGUAGGCGGAGGAGCCGGAAAAGGGCCAGUGAGCAACCUAGUUACUUCUGGGGCGGUGGCCUCCUGGGCUCUCCAGUCUACUCUUGCCCUUCCCCCUGGCCUCCUGCCCUCUCCUACCCCCCAUCCUCCUUCCUUCUCCUCCCUCCUCCCCGCCUAAAAGUGGGCCGGCGCCUUUAAGAGGGUGCUUUGGUUACCCCGGGGGCGGGAGCCUCGGCUGCUAGCAGGGCGGAGGCGCCGGUCGCGAUGCUCCUCACUUUCGGCUCCCGCGCGCAUCGCCGCCUCGCCAUCCUUAUCCUCUGCGGGGAAGCGUCGUUCUCUGCAGCGGAGGAGAGAAGUGCUAUGUCCGGAAAGUUCCGGGAGGGACGCGACGGGGCAGCGCUCCCCGGCCAGCGCGCGGCCCUCGGCCUGAGGCUUUUUUUUUUGUUACUGUAAUAUGAAAGACUUCAUUCAACUUCCGAUAGGAUUUGAGCCCAGAUCUGACUAACACUUCCUUCAAAUGAAACUGUAACUCUAGAUGUCUACAAAGAUACAGUCUCAACCCCAAACUAUUGUUAUUGCUCAGUUAUAUCCUUAAAUGCUAUUUCCAGCUGAAUACAUACAGCAGUUGGGAGUGUACCUUGAAAAUAUUUUCCUUCUUCAGUUUUAGUUUACUAUAUUUCUGUGCAACUUUCUGUCCACAUAUUUUGAUGUGUAUAUAAUUGCUAUAUGAUAGAAUAAAUGAAUAUUGUUUCCUGUGUAGUCAUGUCUAUAAUUUAAUAAUAGUUUGUCAUCUGCCCCAUGCUGUCAACUCCUGGACUCUUAAUAUUUAAAAUAAAUUUGGGAGGCUUAAAUGUACAGAAUUAUAGCUUGAGCUUU
rnacentral:lncRNA from 1 species